UACGGGGGGAGCAAGCGUUGUUCGGAUUUACUGGGCGUAAAGCGAGUGUAGGUGGUCAUCCAAGUUGGAUGUGAAAGCCUUGAGCUCAACUCAAGAAAUGCAUUCAGGACUGAAUGACUAGAGGACCGGAGAGGAUAGUGGAAUUCCCAGUGUAGUGGUGAAAUACGUAGAGAUUGGGAAGAACACCAGUGGCGAAGGCGGCUAUCUGGACGGUUUCUGACACUAAGACUCGAAAGCGUGGGGAGCAAACAGG
rnacentral:rRNA from 1 species